UACGUAGGCAGCAAGCGUUGUUCGGAAUUACUGGGCGUAAAGAGUGUGUAGGCGGUGUUCUAAGUUUGUCGUGAAAUCUCCCGGCUUAACUGGGAGGGUGCGGCGAAAACUGGAAUGCUAGAGGAUGGGAGAGGUAAGCGGAAUUCCUGGUGUAGCGGUGAAAUGCGUAGAUAUCAGGAGGAACACCGGUGGCGAAGGCGGCUUGCUGGGCCAGUUCUGACGCUGAGGAGCGAAAGCGUGGGGAGCGAACAGG
rnacentral:rRNA from 1 species